rnacentral:lncRNA from 1 species
CAGGGUGCUCUCUCCAGCUUCUAGCAAGCAGAGAAGAAACUCUGACAUUAGAAGGAGGGCAAACAGGUCCCAGGAGGAAGAAAUUCUUAAGGAGACACCGAGGAACGUAUUUGCACCUGACUAAAAAGCCCCA